ensembl:lncRNA
GUAAAUGUAUAUGUAUAUGUAUAUGUAUAUGUAAAUGUAUAUGUAUAUGUAUAUGUAUAUGUAAAUGUAUAUGUAUAUGUAUAUGUAGUUUUUUUUUUUUUUUUUUUUAAAAAAACUUUUAAAUUUAAUUUUAUUAAAAAAAAAAAAAAUUAAUAUUUUAUAAUUUGAAAAAAAAAAAAAAAAAAAAAAAAAAAAAGUAUAAAAGUAUAAAUUCGUAACUUAUAUUACUUUUUUUUGUGUAAAUUUAUGAAUGUACUUUGCUAAAUUAGUUUAAAGAAUUUAUUUGUUUUUUUUUUGUUUUUUUUUUUAGUUUUUUUUUUUUUUUNNNNNNNNNNNNNNNNNNNNNNNNNNNNNNNNNNNNNNNNNNNNNNNNNNNNNNNNNNNNNNNNNNNNNNNNNNNNNNNNNNNNNNNNNNNNNNNNNNNNUUUUUUUUUUUUUUUUUUUUUUUUUUUAGUUUUUUUUUUUUUUUUUAUUUUUAAAAAAAAAAUGAAUAAAAGAACAUUUUCAAAUAAUGAAAACAAUAGUAAGAGUAAAACAGGAGUGAAAAGAUAUUUAAUGAGCAACGAUGAAUCAUAUGAAAGUCAAAAAAAUUACCAUGAAAAACAAUUUUCUUCUAAGCUAAGUAAUAAUUCGGUCGAUGAAAUAAACAGAAACGGCUAUAAUAUACACAGCAACAAGAAAAAUAGCUGUGAUAGUAAUAGUACUAACAGUAAUAAUAAGAGUAAUAAUAACAAUAACAUGAAACACACUGAGUAUAAUGAUAAUAAUGAUAUAAGUAGCAUAAAUGAUAAACGCAAUGAUAGUUAUAAUAAUUAUAACAACAGUACAGAUGAGUAUACACAUCAUGACAAUCAUCAUGACAAUCACCAUGACAAUCAUCAUGACAAUCAUCAUGACAAUCACCAUGACAAUCAUCAUGUAAAUCAUCAUAAUAGUCACUGUAACAAGAGUAGUGACAGUAGUAAUAAUAGUUACAACAGUAAUAGUGACAUUGGAAGAAACAUGAAAGAUAAAAAUAGAAAGCAUACUAAAAGAAAAGACAACUAUAAUAAUAAUGGUAAAAAUAAUGAUGGUGAAAAAAAAAAUGAUGAAAAUAAUAAUGAUCAAAAUAAUAAUAAAAGUAAAAACAGCAAUGACAUAAACAACAACAACAACAACAACAAUGACAACGACAUUAACGAUAACAAUAAUUCAAAUAUAUAUUAUUCAAAUGAUAGUAAAAAAAGAAAAGGAGGUAUAUAUUCAAUUCCAUAUUUUAAAAAAGAAAAAAAUAAUGUAACAAAUACUUGUUUAAUUUUAAAAAACGUACCAAAAGAAGCACAUGAAGAAGAUAUAAAAUCAUUUAUUCGUCCAUUUUUACGAAACAUAACACCUGAUAUUACUUUUUAUAAUGAAGGAAUUGUGGUUAAUUUAUAUGAUAAUGAAUUAAACGAAAAUAUUUAUAACUAUUUUAAUGAAUACCCUACUCAAAUAAAAGGUUCGUUUAUAAAUGUAAAACUUGCAAAUGUAGAUGACUGUCAUUAUAUGAAUGAAGAAGUUUUAGAUAUACAUCGAAAGGGUAGUAAUGAUAUUACUAAUAAUAAUAAUAAUAACAAUAAUAGUAAUAAAAAUAAUAGUAAUGACAAUAAUAGUAAUAAUAAUAAUAAUAAUAAUAACAAUAAUAAUAAUAACAAUAAUAAUAAUGUUAAAGGUUGCAGUAACAAUAAUGAUAGUAGUAGUAAUAAUAAAAAUAUUGAUAAUAACAUGAAAGAGGCAUUAAUAUCACAAGAUAAAAGAUAUACGAAAAAUAGACCAAAAGAAUUCUCAAAAGUUAUAUUAGUAUCUGUUGUAAACGUACAAUUUCCAGUUGAUAUGGAAUUAAUUUAUUAUAUUUUUAGUAAAUGCGGAACAGUGGAAAAAAUAAUUACAUUGUCAAGGAGUUUAGUGGUAUAUCAAGCCUUAGUACAAUUAAAUAGUAUCGACGCAGCAAAAGAAGCCAUAAAAACAUUACACAAUAGAAAUAUAUAUGAUGGCUGUAAUACAAUUUAUAUUGAGUAUUCUUUUUUAAAAGAGCUUACUGUUAAAGCAAAUAAUUCCACUUCAUGGGAUUAUACUAUAUCCAGUGCACCAGUUAAUAAGAAUAUACCUGUUUUACAAAACAUGCAAGGUGUAUUACCCAUGCCGAAAAAGAGUAAAGAAAUUGAAUUAUUUCAAAUGAUGGAGCAAAAAUUUAAAUCUGUAAAUUUUGAAACAAAAAAUACAUCAAAAACGCCAGUUUUAAUAUGUUAUAACAUACCAAAAGAUUACACAGAUGUAAAAAAGGUAUCUCUACGCGUGUUUGUCCUUUUUUUUUCAUUUUCUGUUUGUCCCUUUGUUAUAGCCUGUUGGUUUGUCCACUUGUUCAUCAUACUCUUAACCGUUUAUCCGUGCGUUUAUUAUUCAUUUGCUUUUAUUUUACAUUUUAACAGAUUUUUAACUUAUUUAGUAUAUAUGGAUAUGUAUCUAAAAUUAAAAUUCUAAGGGAAAAACCUGACUCUGCUCUUAUACAAUAUACCAAUUAUUUAUUUUCUUCAUUAGCGCAAGAAUGCCUGCAGCAUGCCAAAAUUUGCGAUCAAGUUAUAGAAGUACAUUUUUCAAAAAUACUUGACAUCAGAAUUUCGAUGCAGCAAAAAAAAACGGAAUCAUUUAAAGCUAAGACAUUUAGCAACUAUGAUCAAAGAUAUUUAGUAAGCACUAAAAAUGGAUAUAUAUAUAUAUAUAAAAGCGAAAAAAAAAAAAAAAAAAACGGAUGUGUUAAUAUGUGAUUGUCCAUACGCGUGCUUAUAUAUAUAUAUAUAUAUAUAUAUAUAUACAUAAUCUCUUUUUUUUGUUGUUAUUAUUAAAUGCAGCCUUCAGAUCAAACUAAAUACAUAAAGGGGGCAUGUAAACCGACGAAAACUUUAUUUUUAGCGAACGUGAGUGAUGAAAUAAAUGAAGAAUGUAUUAUGGCA